rnacentral:rRNA from 1 species
AAUAUUUGACAAUGGGGGCAACCCCGAUCCAGCCAUGCCGCGUGUGUGAAGAACGUCCUCGGAUUGUAAAGCACUUUAAGAUGCGGGGAAGGGCUGUAGCUCAAUACUCUGCAUUCUUGACGUUACCGAAAGAAUAACCACCGGCUACCUUCGUGCCAGCAGCCGCGGUAAUACGAAGGGUGCAAGCGUUAAUCGGAAUUAGUGGGCGUAAAGGGCGCGGAGGUGGUUUGUUAAGUUGGAAGUGAAAGCCCCGGGCUCAACCGGGGAACUGCUGUGAAAACUGGCGAGCUAGAGUAUGGCAGAGGGUGGUGGAAUUUCCUGUGUAGCGGUGAAAUGCGUAGAUAUAGGGAGGAACUCCAGUGGCGAAGGCGACCACCUGGGCUAUUACUGACACUGAGGUGCGAAAGCGUGGGGAGCGAACA